rnacentral:misc_RNA from 1 species
GGCAAGAUGGCCGACAAAGGUGGUUUGUUGGCAAGGUCCGAGUUUCCACUUUAUGUUGUUAAAUCUUUAGACGAAAGACAUUUUCUUGUAGCUGGCGGUGGUGGGGCUGCAAAGACUGGUAUUGCUAAUGCAAUUGAGGUGUAUGAGGUGGAGCUUCAGGAUGGCAAACUACAAGCGGUCAGUAUCUGUAGACACGACACGGGGUCACAGGCCAUCAUGAACGGCUCCAACGUCUAUGAUGGAAGGAACCAUCAGUUUGCAGCAGGACUUGAUGAUGAAUGUCAUGUUUAUUCACUGAAAUACAAAGUUGUUUCUCCAAAGAAAAAACCUUCAGAAGAUGGAAAUUUACGAAAAAGGAAAGGAGAUACCUCUGAUGAUACUCCAAACAGCACUGGAAAGCAAAUCAUGUUUGAAAUUGACAAAAUCAAAAGUACUAAGACAGAUUUCAAUAAAGACAGCAGCUUUCAAAAGGUUGCCCAGAUCAGUCCAAAACGAAGUCUUAUAGCUACAGGAGGUACUGAUGGUUACCUCAGGGUGUGGAAGUUUCCAGAAUUGGAAAAAUUGUACGAAGUUCAUGGCCACAAAAAUGAUAUAGAUGAUAUUGAUAUUAGUCCACAAGGAGACAAGAUAGUGACAGUGUCCAGAGACCAUUGUGCCUGUGUGUGGAACUCUAAAGAUGGCAGCAAGAUCACCAAUCUCAAGUGGCCUCUACAGGCAGACGAACACAGAUACAGGUGUUGUAGAUAUGGUCUGAUAGAAGGAAAAAAGGACAAAUUUAACCUCUACACCAUCAGUAUACCUAACAAACGAUCUGCGCAGAAACCCCUUCCUUGUUUUUUAACAAUGUGGUGCAGUGAGAAAUUUACACCAAAACGUAUGGUCACUGCUGGAACAGAGGUCCUGUCAUGUCUGGCAGUGAGUGAUGACGGUGUGUACCUGGCGGUAGGAACAAUAUCAGGAAGUGUGGCUGUGUAUAUAUCCUUUAGUCUACAGAAAUUGUAUUAUAAGAAAGAGGCCCACAGUAUAUUUGUGACAGGAGUAGAAUUCAUGCCAAGUUCCGAGGGAACGCGAGAAGUGACAGGAAACCAGGACUUUACCUUAUUAAGUAUAUCGGCUGAUAACACUAUCCGCAUGCAUCAAGUAGCAGCCAGAAACUCCUACAGUGUGCUACUGAUUGUAUUGGGUGCUUUACUGAUUGUAAUCUUGCUGUUCAUGUUGCUCGGUGAGUACGGCAUCUGAGGAAAAAUGAUCUUCGUAUUUAAAACCCCAAGAAAAUCCUUGAAGUCACUGAAGGCCGGCGUAACUAAAGGCAGCUAGUAACCUGUAACCACAGGGCUGUGGAACUCGUGUAGUACUCCUGUAAUUCUGGAGCAUGAUUUGGUGUUGGUUUUAUUACUGGUUGACAUGUUGGUAUAUUUUUUUUAAGAAAAAACCUUUUGAUGUUUAAAGGAAGAAAUUAUAAUGUAACUGGUAUAAUUAUUAUAAUUAGUGCAAUCACUUUUUAAGAAAAUAUGUUUGUUGUGUAAAAGAGAAAAAAAAUUGGUAAUAUUACUGGUAUAUAAUGAUUAAUGCAAUGAAGAUUUAGAAGGGGGGUAAUGUUAUUGAUCUGGUGAUGUUUAACAGUAGGAUACAGGGAGUAAACAGAUGGUGGUUUGUGACCAGUGUCACACAGCCUGUAGGUUACAGGGUGUAGGUAACAGGGAACAUACUGUCUGGUGAUGUUUACCAGUAGGAUACAGGGAGUAAACAGAUGACUGACUGUUGACAAGUGACAUAUACCUGGGUACACAGACUGUUGAUUUGCAGAAAUAUACAAGUGUCCUAAAUAUUACUGGAAUCCAACAUCUACUCCACGGCCGUACAGCAAGGAUCUAGCAAAAGAUGUGCAAUAUGUUUUGUUAAAGGUGGUGUGCUGUUUAAACCCAAGUUUUCAUUCCAUUGUGUUUGACUGAUCUAGGUGAUAUGUAUUGUUGUGAAAUUUAACGUUCUGUCCAUACCAUCUUAAGAUUUUUUGUUACAUUUCUUAAAUAACAUCAGGCCUGAAUAUGUUAAAUGUUUUUAUUGCUUCCUUGAAUGUCCUGAUAGGAUUCAACUGAAAAAUUGAAAAUUAAAAUGACAAAUAAAAAAUUUGAACACUUUGACUGAUGUUAAAAUUACAAAAGGUCGAUAAACAUCAAAUCAGGUGGUUAUUUGUUCUACAAUUUAUUUAGCAAUGAAUAAGAUUAUGUUUUAAAUUUCCAUUUUACAAGCAAUUUGGAUCAGUGUAUAAAACUACAUUGUUUAUGGAAGCUAUGAGACAGGAGGUCAUGAAGCCAUGAAGGGUGUGAAGAUAUUGAUGGUAGUGUAUUUAACAAUGGUUUUUGUCACUACAUUGUUUAUAGAAGCUAUGAGACAGGAGGUCAUGAAGCCAUGAAGGGUGUGAAGAUAUUGAUGGUAGUGUAUUUAACAAUGGUUUUUGUCACUACAUUGUAUAUGGGGUGAAAGAUGUCAUUGAUGUGAUACCAAUGACACAAAAUGUGCUUUAGUUGAAGGUGAAAUGAAUGAUUGUGUAAACUGAGUCAGACAUAUUGUAAUCUAUUAAAAAGGAUACAAUAUAAAAUGGCUAGAAAUACUGUUUUCUGUAUGGUUUAGAAAUAUAGUUUGUUUAAUUUACUCUAUCCCCACUCAUCCCCUCUGCCUUCCCCCACUCCCUAUGUGGCUGUCCAGGGAGUUAGGUCUCCAACCAAGGGAGUUAGUCCACCAUUCCAGGGUGUUAGGUCUCCAACCAAGGGAGUUAGUCCUCCAUUCCAGGGUGUUAGGUCUCCAACCAAGAGAGUAAGUCCUCCAUUCCAGGGUGUUAGGUCUCCAACCAAGGGAGUUGGUCCUACAUUCCAGGGUGUUAGGGAGUUUGUUUGAGCAAAUUUCCUUCAGCUGUUUCUGUAAUUUAACAGAAAUGACUGCGCCAUUCACAUGUGAGGGCGGAGACUGUAUUCAAUGUUAAAUCCUCAGUCAGUUAGUUUAUCACUUGAGACAUCAGUGCAGACAAUAGCGAGAGCAUAGUUUCCACUUACAAUGUUGCUUUUUUUUUUUAGAUGUUUGAGCAUUUCGUAUCGGUAAGUUGAUGGAUUUCAGGAUUCAUCUUUACCACGAGUAAUAUACCUGGGCUUGGGGAACUAGAAACAUUCUAUAUCCCUGAAGCCUAUGAUUUAAUAUAUAAUAAUGUAUAUAGCUUAUUCUAUUUAUUAGGGAUUUGGGGUAGCAAUAUCUAUGUUGUAAAAUUAGAAUUAAAUUAACAUGAAAAUAUGAACUGUUUGACAUCAUUUUAACAAGUGCUGUAAGAUACAGUAACAAGUUUUGGAUGGUAAUUGCUGAAAGGUAACAUCAUAUUAACAUGUGGGCUUGGUUGAUGAUUCCUGCUUAUGGCGUUACCACACAUUCAGCUUAUUUUAUGUCUAAAGGAUGUUUUUAUAAUAGAUAAACUGAAAAAAUGUACAUGAUCUGUACUCCUUUUUCCGAUGAAAACAUAUAUUUCUUAUUGAAAAAGGUUAAGAUAGCAGGGGGACAGGAUUACCUGGGUAGCUGAUUGGUUAGGGGAUGGUUUAGAUAGCAGGGUUACUGGAUUACCUGAGUAGCUGAUUGGUUAGGGGAUGGUUUAGAUAGCAGGGGGACUGGAUUCCCUGGGUAGCUGAUUGGUUAGGGGGUGGUUUAGAUAGUAGGGGGACUGGAUUGCCUUGGUAGCUGAUUGGUUAGGGGGUGGUUUAGAUAGUAGGGGGACUGGAUUACCUUGGUAGCUGAUUGGUAAGGGGGUGGUUUAGAUAGUAGGGGGACUGGAUUACCUGGGUAGCUGAUUGGUUAGGGGGUGGUUUAGAUAGUAGGGGGACUGGAUUACCUGGGUAGCUGAUUGGUUAGGGGAUGGUUUAGAUAGUAGGGGGACCGGAUUACCUUGGUAGCUGAUUGGUAAGGGGGUGGUUUAGAUAGUAGGGGGACUGGAUUACCUUGGUAGCUGAUUGGUUAGGGGGUGGUUUAGAUAGUAGGGGGACUGGAUUACCUGGGUAGCUGAUUGGUUAGGGGAUGGUUUAGAUAGUAGGGGGACUGGAUUACCUGGGUAGCUGAUUGGUUAGGGGAUGGUUUAGAUAGUAGGGGGACUGGAUUACCUGGGUAGCUGAUUGGUUAGGGGAUGGUUUAGAUAGUAGGGGGACUGGAUUACCUGGGUAGCUGAUUGGUUAGGGGAUGGUUUAGAUAGUAGGGGGACUGGAUUACCUGGGUAGCUGAUUGGUUAGGGGAUGGUUUAGAUAGUAGGGGGACUGGAUUACCUGGGUAGCUGAUUGGUUAGGGGAUGGUUUAGAUAGUAGGGGGACUGGAUUACCUGGGUAGCUGAUUGGUUAGGGGAUGGUUUAGAUAGUAGGGGGACUGGAUUACCUGGGUAGCUGAUUGGUUAGGGGAUGGUUUAGAUAGUAGGGGGACUGGAUUACCUGGGUAGCUGAUUGGUUAGGGGAUGGUUUAGAUAGUAGGGGGACUGGAUUACCUGGGUAGCUGAUUGGUUAGGGGAUGGUUUAGAUAGUAGGGGGACUGGAUUACCUGGGUAGCUGAUUGGUUAGGGGAUGGUUUAGAUAGUAGGGGGACUGGAUUACCUGGGUAGCUGAUUGGUUAGGGGAUGGUUUAGAUAGUAGGGGGACUGGAUUACCUGGGUAGCUGAUUGGUUAGGGGAUGGUUUAGAUAGUAGGGGGACUGGAUUACAUGGGUAGCUGAUUGGUUAGGGGAUGGUUUAGAUAGUAGGGGGACUGGAUUACCUGGGUAGCUGAUUGGUUAGGGGAUGUUCACAUUGAUAAUUAAUCCUAUUCGUGGGUGCUACGAACCAGGAUAUAUGUAAACCAUAAAUACUCUACAGGGUCCUUUUAUCUUCACAAAUCAUGCCGUAAUUAUAUGAAAGCGCACUUAUUAAUCUAAAUAAUACAUGUAGAACUAGAUAUGUAGAUUAAUCAUUGCAUUUUGGUAUAUCGGUAACGUUUAUCUUACACACUUGUUUUAAAUUAUAUACUAUAGAAAUAGUACUAAACUCAGCCUAGGAUUUCAGGGACGUUCACAAUCACACAGGCUGUUCUUUUGAUAUUUUACAUAUAAAAUAUAAUCUGUCUUAUGCUGUGAAUUUUCAGAACACUUACCCAAUUUUAUUCUUAAAAGUCAAAGAUUGAUUUAUUUUUGACUGAAAUCUAGAUUGUCAUCAGACUCUACUAUGAUUUACUUCUGCUAUUUUUAUUUUUAUUUUAAUAGAGUUUCUACAAUAUUUUCUGACUUGAGUAGUAAGGGUGAAGAUUUGAUAAUAGUAAUAGUCUGUGUGACUUUAUGAGUGAACUAUAUGCAUUUGUAUAGUGGAUAUUUGGAUUGUUGUUUAUCAUUGAGCAUUUGGUUUAAGUUUCCAGAUUUGAGAGUGUUUCAUCAUCUGUCCAUAAUUAAAAAAAAAUGUCAAACAAUUGUCACAUGUAAAUGAUCUCAGCGUAUAUAUGUAUAGGUAGCCAAUGUAUUAUAAGUUCUUACACAACAAAGCUUUAUAAAAAAAAGAUCCGUUUUACAUUUGUAAUGAUGUGACCUUUACUGCUUUAUUGUAACCCUCGGUUAACGUAUAAAUCUUGACUUCAUAUAGUUUAGUGGAGUUACAAAUGAUAUGCGAUAUAAAAUGUGUCUUUAUUUUAAAUCAACCUAUUUCUAGGAAAAUCCACUUUGCUGGUCAGAGUAAAAAGUGUCUUUGUAAUAAUAAAUUAAAUCAUAGCUGUUUAUAUAUAUAGGUAGUGACCUAGUUUUGCAUUAAUGUGAAAGUAAGAAUUGUAAAUGUGAAAGCUAACCCUUAACAGUCAUUUGUGCAUCAAGUUUUUAUCUUGCAUUUGGGGAAAGGAGAAAAAUAUCAAAACAUUUGUAGACCAAUUUCCUUCUGUUGAAGCAUGCCCACUCCUGUUGAUGGUACAUAUGUAGUACAUGUAUAUUAUGAUAUUUAAAAUGGGCACAGAAAUUACCCGUAAUAUUUUUUAAGUGGAGCAAACUUGGUCAUAAAAACAAGUUAAAUUAACUUGGUUUUAUGAUCAAGUUAGUUCUUUCAAGAUUGAAAAGAUUAAAAAGUUUGAUAUAAAAGGUUUAAAAUUUGUUUUGUUCCGCUUGAUAUAUUGUAUAUAUUGUUUUAACUGAUGAUAUUUGCUUUUAAAACAUUCUCUAUGAAAGCGACGCUGAAAACAGGCAAGUUUUCCCCUGUAAUACAUGUUCUGUGUAUGGUGUCCUGAAUGUUGAAUGAAAAAUAUUUUAAAUGAGAUGUACCGGUAAUCUGUUACAAUGCUUUUACCAGAAUGUCUGGACGAAGUUAUACUUUGUGAAAAAAAUAUGUUACUCAUUUGAUGAAGUAGAUACUAUGUUGCAUUUUUUUUGUAUAUUUCCAUAUUUCAAAGAAAAUAACUUGAAUAUUGUAAUUUAUUUUAGUUUUAUUUGAACCUAAUCGGAAAGGCAAACGGCAUGCUUAUUAUGUGUCGGUGAAGGUGAAUGUAUUAUAACUUUGUAGUUCAGCAGAACUGAAAUACGAUAUCUGGAAUGUUACAGAAAACGAGCUUUUCAUGUCUUCUUUAAACUUAAGUUUUAUCAAAGGUACACAAAUCAACUGAUUAUUUAUUUUCCCUUAUGAGCCAUUUUUGGUUCCUGGGCAUCAAUAUUAUCUUAUUAUAUAUUUUUUUAAGAAAAAGUUUGUGAUCCCAAUGACUUUAAUAAAAAAAACAACAGAAAGAGGCAAUUUUAUGGCCUACAGAAGUUUGAAAAUUGAUUUUAAGAUUUCUUUUUGAAAAUUUGAUUUUAAGAAAUUGUUUCAAUCGCCAGUCUUCAGUCUAACUUGGGGAUCACAAAGAUGUAUGACUGUUUCUGUUGUAUUGGGUGCCUGAGCAGUGUACAGGUACUGAGCAGUGUACAGGUACUGAGCAGUGUACAGGUGCCUGAGCAGUGUACAGGUGACUGAGCAGUGUAAAGGUGAGAUUUAAAUCCUAGGAGGAUAACUGAUUUGAAUGAUGUUGAAAUUCUGUCUGUCGUGCGUCUGUGAUACCGGUUUUAGGGAUAUUAUUAGUAUUUGUACUUUUAUAUGUUAUCUAUUUUCAUUGUUAUUAUAUCAUGCUAUUCAUUUAUCAUGGUGAACUCCUCAUAUUAUUAAUUUUAUUAAUUUCAUCACCAGGAAUCCUCAGAUUUAAAGGAUAACUGUAGCAGGAAAGAGAGUAGUGUGCUUCCUCUGGGGAUUAAAACAGCAGCCCCCAACUUCUCAGUCCGCUGCUUUCUAUAAUAGGAAGCUAGAAGACGAUUGCAAUUGUAUAAAUGCCAAUGACCAUAUCGUGUAUGUAAUGUUGGUCUCACAGAAAUUGUUUACAAAUGACUCGGUGUUAUUUAAGUAGAUACCUGGUAUGAUCACAUAUUUCAUGGUACAAUAAUGGAAAGGUGGCAUAUUCCAAAUUUUAUUUUUCAGUUCUGAUGAUAUAACUGAGUAUACAUCUAGACCAUGUGAUGUUUAUUCUGUGGUAAAUCUCUCCAGUUUUGUAGUACUGGUUCACCAAUUCUGUCAUGAUCACUGCCAAUCUUAUAUGAUGUCACAGAUAAUUAUGUGCAACAUGUGCUAUGGAGAUAAAUCAUUACGUAAACAAA